GGUUAGGUCAGCAUAUGGGCAUACUGUAGCACAAAAAAAUUGGUGUUAUUUCCCAGUUUUUGCGAACAAGCUUUGAAGACCCUCCAUAUCAUCAAAAUAAUAAUGAAGAAGCUAACAGUGGUUCUGGCACUGAUAUCGCAAUCAUUGAUAGUUGUCUGUUAUAUCCGGUGCCCAGUUAGGAGUGUGCCUGGUGCGUGUUGGUACGAAGGAAGAUUAUAUCCAGCUGGAUCUCACGUGUCAUCCGCUAAUCCAUGCGCUUUCAUAACUUGUUCAGUCACUGGACAGACGCUGUCAAUCACUGGGUGUCCGUCAGGGCCUGGAGCACAUCAGCAUCCCCCCGGUGCUGCUGGGGUACCUUUAUUAUUGUUCCCGGACUGUUGUUCAAGAUGCCCGAGGAUUCCAUGAAUCGACCUUACGAACAGC